UACGGAGGGUGCAAGCGUUAUCCGGAUUCACUGGGUUUAAAGGGUGCGUAGGUGGGCUAGUAAGUCCGUGGUGAAAUCCCCGAGCUUAACUCGGGAACUGCCGUGGAUACUAUUAGUCUUGAAUAUCGUGGAGGUAAGCGGAAUAUGUCAUGUAGCGGUGAAAUGCUUAGAUAUGACAUAGAACACCGAUAGCGGAGGCAGCUUACUACGCGAUUAUUGACACUGAGGCACGAAAAGCGUGGGGGAUCAAACAGG
rnacentral:rRNA from 1 species